CACGGUUGGUUCUCCCGUCUGAGGUCGCUCUCCGUGUUUAUGAACAGCAGUGUAGGGAAAUACUGAGUUACAGGUAGAUAACAGCACGUGAGGCUUCAAGAAAAUUCGCAUUUUCAGUGCUGUAAUGGACUGCUUGAGUCUCUCUUGUCAAUGGGGAGUUUGAGUAUGUGGCACAUUUGGAAUUCCAGCCCAUUCUGACCUAACAACUGACAAAGUCGAAACCCAGAGCCAUCAGUUGCUGUUUAAACCUGGGGUUUCUGCUUGCCUGUGUCUCAUCUGAGCAGGAGUCUAUGAGAUCAUUCAAGUACGGAGACUUGGCAGCUUCUCCGUAUGUACAAAGACGGCUGUUUGAAUGUCUGAGUGUCUUUCUGGCUAAGGAUAAAUUAUUUGUGACUGUACGCGUGCCAAUCACAGUGCAAGUCUGAACUUCUAUUUUGGGCAGUGUUUGAAAAAUGCUAAAAGCGGGAGGAUAUGCAGCUGAAUUUCUUACGCAUUUGUGCGGAUUAAUUUCCAACAUGAAACUGAGUUCGUAUUGGAGACUGGAAGAUGAAAGGUUUCGGUGUUGAAGAGAUUUCUCUGAAUGUGAAGCCCGUGUUUUAAAACAAAACACUAGCACAUUCAACCUUCCUGACUUUUGCUGCGAAUCACUGCAGCUGUGAUAAGAAAAGGAAAAAACCUCCAAAACUGUGGGCCUGCCAUAUCCCUUUUUGCUCAAGCAGCAAAACCAAUUGGGAAUGUCUGGGUUAUUUCUGAACUCCACUAACAUGGCCCUCCUUCAAGAAAGCAGCAGGGUGAUGUCAUGCUCAGCAGUUCAGGAGAGGAUCAGUGCAUGCUCCAUCCAGCUCAGCGCACCCCAGAGCUAAACCACAGAAGUUCAUUCACCAAAAAGAGGAUGAUGAGGAAUAUCCUACAAGAUCUGAAGAAUGUGCCUGCAAUGGGUUGAGUUUCUUGAAGGACUUUCUUCUGCACAGCUGGAAGCAUUGGAGGGAGCUGCUCCAUGCCAAGGAAUGGUGCUGGUUGAUCAGCCUCAGUGCUAGACCCAGAGGAAGUUCGAGUUCCAGUGUAUCAAUGACUAUAGAGAUACCAUCUCCCAUCUCAAAACCACGGCUAUUCCAGGGCUGUGGCCAGACUGUGGUAAGGUUUUCCUUCACAAACCAGCCAUGUCACCCUUCCCUCAAGCUCUGUGCUUUCAUCCUGCUGAGAUCAGUGAGCAGAGCUGCUGCCCCAGGAGC